AACCAACCAAACCACUGGUCGCUCAUCAGAAACUAGGCAAAUGACCACACCUGCUAAAGUUUAUGAAAACACUUUCUCUUCCCUUUGCAAGCAGAUUAUAUGUGAAAGCUCAGCAACAGAAAGAAAAUCAUUCUCUCUUUGUUUCUCCCCCCCCCCCAUCACAUGGAAAAUAAUAUCUUCCUUCUUUGGGGUUACCAUUUUGCAGACAAGUAUAAGCAAGACAGAAAUAUCUUUUUGUCAAAUGAUGUCUUUAUUAAGGAUUGUUGAAGCUAUUGCUAUUAUGCUAUUGGUAAAGUAACCAAGAUGGUACCUUGGAUACUGGGCUUGGAAUCGAGAAGACCUUAGUUCAAUCCAGCCUUGGAUACCUUCUAGCUAUGUGACCCUGGGCUUACUUAACCCUGUUUCUUGUCUAUAAAAUGAGCUGAAGAAGGAAAUGGCAAAUCACUUGAGCAUCUUUGCCAAGAAAACCCCACAUAGGAUCCUGAAGAACUGGACAAGAUUGAGAUGACUGAACAUCAACAAAAACUUAAUUUGCCUCUGUUCUUAUGCUCUUCUAUAGGAUAAAGAGCAGGUAAAAUCUACCCAUGUUCUACAAGGCAGAAUUUUUAAAGUUGAAGAUUAUGGCACAUUUGCAAUUUGCACAUUAUUUAAUCUAUUAAGGAAGAUCAUUUAAGACCAAUGCAAAGACCAUGAAUACCAACUUUAAAAAACAAAAAAACCCAAAAACUCUGCUUUGGCUUACUGACAUAUGUCCUGACAAUCCCUGUGAGACAAUUCCCAUAAGCCUUAGAAAUAGUAGCCUGAAGAGAGACGAUGUUAUGCGAAAGAAUUUUCCAAAGGCAACUGACUAUAUUGUUUUUUCUCCCUUAAAAUGAAUGAAUAACUUUGAUCUAUCAACUGUGAAAAGUAAACUGGGUGUGACCUUCCAUCAUCAGCUAAUCAUCUCACUUAAUGACAUUUCUUAACUUUGCUCUGAUAUUAGGUCAUGGUCUUUCUUUGUACUGUCAGGAUUUUUCAUCCAAAGGCUAAUUGUUUCCUUUUACGUGUAUAAGGAUAGCUUGGGAAUCACAUGGGCUUAAUCUGAAGUUCAUCUUUGUGUCUCAAAUAUCUGACAAUUCUUUGUGUUUUCUUGUAUCUAUCCCAGAAAGGACCUUUUCUGUAUGAAAUAAAUAAAGAAAUAAACAAAUUCA
rnacentral:lncRNA from 1 species